rfam:Erwinia billingiae strain Eb661 complete plasmid pEB102.
AGUCGUCUAAUGACGGCCACCAAUGGUCCGAGAGCUUGAGAGGACCGCCUUCGGGUAGCUGAAAAAACACUCCUGCAGCCUGAAAGGGAGAACACAUCAGUGUGGUACAUCUGCUCACUCCUGGAAGCAGAUAUCGUCAACAAUGCGCAC